GACGAACGCUGGCGGCGUGCUUAACACAUGCAAGUCGAACGGAAAGGCCUGCUUUCCCUUGUGGAUUGCGGGUACUCGAGUGGCGAACGGGUGAGUAACACGUGAGUGAUCUGCCCCCAACUUGGGUAUAAGCCUGGGAAACUGGGUCUAAUUCCCGAUAGGACUGCAGGGUGGUGCCUGUGGUGGAAAACGAUUUUCUAGUGGUUGGGGAUGAGCUCGCGGCCUAUCAGCUUGUUGGUGGGGUAAUGGCCUACCAAGGCGGCGACGGGUAGCCGGCCUGAGAGGGUGGACGGCCACAGUGGGACUGAGAUACGGCCCAGACGCCUACGGGAGGCAGCAGUGGGGAAUAUUGCACAAUGGGCGGAAGCCUGAUGCAGCGACGCCGCGUGGGGGAUGACGGCCUUCGGGUUGUAAACUCCUUUCGACCGCGAGGAAGCCACCUGGUUGGAAGGGUGGUGACGGUAGUGGUAGAAGAAGCACCGGCUAACUACGUG
rnacentral:rRNA from 1 species